GGCUUGGCCGGCUGUUUUGAGAAGAGAAAAUAAGAGAGGAAAAACUUCAUUUUCUACUUCACUUUCUUGCUCAAAUCUUGAGUCUUAACCGCUAGUUUUGCAAUCUAUUCCAUACAAGUGCUCACUAAGGAGGUUUAAAGCUAUUGGUGGAGUUGUUUUGGAGGAGGAAGCACUAAGCUACCAAUUUUCUUGAGAUUUGAAGGGCUUGGACUUGAUCAAGGCAAUGAUCUAUGAUGGAUGGAACAUGAGCUGUGGUUGGGCUCGAGGCAAAGGAAGUGCGUGUGAUAAGUUAUUAGAGUGUCUGAAGGGUUAUCUCAUGUAUAAUUUGAAUUCGAUUCACUUGAUGAGUAUUUGAUGUAAUAUUUGAGGCUGAUAUUGUAAUUGUA